UGGGGAAUAUUGGACAAUGGGCGCAAGCCUGAUCCAGCCAUGCCGCGUGAGUGAUGAAGGCCUUAGGGUUGUAAAGCUCUUUUGUCCGGGAAGAUAAUGACUGUACCGGAAGAAUAAGCCUCGGCUAACUUCGUGCCAGCAGCCGCGGUAAUACGAAGGGGGCUAGCGUUGCUCGGAAUCACUGGGCGUAAAGGGCGCGUAGGCGGACUCUUAAGUCGGGGGUGAAAGCCCAGGGCUCAACCCUGGAAUUGCCUUCGAUACUGAGAGUCUUGAGUUCGGAAGAGGUUGGUGGAAUUGCGAGUGUAGAGGUGAAAUUCGUAGAUAUUCGCAAGAACACCGGUGGCGAAGGCGGCCAGCUGGUCCGAUACUGACGCUGAGGCGCGAAAGCGUGGGGAGCAAACAGG
rnacentral:rRNA from 1 species